rnacentral:rRNA from 1 species
UACGAAGGGGGGCUAGCGUUGUUCGGAAUUACUGGGCGUAAAGCGCACGCAGGCGGAUUGAUAAGUCAGGGGUGAAAUCCCGGGGCUCAACCUCGGAAUUGCCUUUGAUACUGUCUAUCUUCGAGUUCGGGAGAGGUUGGCGGAAUUCCUAGUGUAGAGGUGAAAUUCGUAGAUAUUAGGAAGAACACCAGUGGCGAAGGCGGCCAACUGGCCCGAUACUGACGCUCAUGUGCGAAAGCGUGGGGAGCAAC